rnacentral:rRNA from 1 species
AUGAAGUUGGAAUCNCUAGUAAUCGCGGAUCAGCAUGCCGCGGGUGAAUGCGUUCUCGGGCCUUGUACACACCGCCCGUCACACCAUGAGAGUCGGGAACACCCGAAGUCCGUAGCCUAACCGCAAGGGGGGCGCGGCCGAAGGUGGGCUCGAUAAUUGGGGUGAAGUCGUAACAAGGUAUC